rnacentral:tRNA from 1 species
GCGGGGGUAGCCAAGACUGGUCAAAGGCGCAGGACUUAAGAUCCUGUCCCACAGGGGUCCGCGGGUUCGAAUCCCGCCCCCCGCACCA